GUGGUCUGUGGUGGGAAAGUUGUUUGUGGAAUUGUGGAUUUCCCGUAUUUUAAUUUUUAUUACGAUUUACGACAACUUCGAGAUUCCGCUAUAUAUUUUGAAGGCACCGCGAUAGUAUAUUCAAGUUUUUACUUUACACAGUGAUCAGUGAUUAAGUUUUCCCGUAAAAAUGUCUCCUCACCGUGACCCUACAGUAGUGGGAGUGCCAAACUUCAAUGCUGCGGAGGAUGCCGCAGCCCUGCGAGCUGCCAUGAAGGGGCUCGGAACAGACGAGGAGGCCAUCAUAGCUAUCCUCACCACUCGCUCCAAUGCCCAGCGUCAAGCCAUCGCACAGGCAUUCACUCAUGAGUAUGGCAGGGACAUAAUUGAGGACCUGAAGUCUGAGCUGGGCGGUCAUUUCGAGGAUGUGAUCAUCGCCCUGAUGAUGCCACCUGCUGAGUACCUCUGCCGCGAGCUGCACCACUGCAUGGACGGAAUGGGCACAGAUGAAACAGUGCUGGUGGAAAUACUGUGCACGCGUACCAAGCCAGAGAUCGCCGAGAUUGUGGACGCGUAUGAGCGACUGUACAAUCGUCCACUGGCAGAACAUAUGUGCUCUGAGACAUCGGGUGACUUCCGACGUCUGCUCACCCUCAUCGUUACAUCUGUCCGUAAGGGCGCUCGCGAUGAAGAGGCCGGUGUGGACCCCGCACGCGCGGCCGAAGCCGCCCAGCAGCUCUACGACGCUGGAGAGGCCAAGUGGGGCACCGAUGAGGAGAUAUUCAAUAAGAUCCUAGCCCACGAGAGCUUCGCGCAGCUACGUCUGAUCUUUGAAGAGUACAAGAAUAUUGCCGGCCGCACCAUUGAGCAGGCAAUCAAAGCGGAGAUAGGCGGCGAGCUGAAGGACGCGCUCUCUGCUAUCGUGGAGUGUGUGGAGAAUUCCGCCGCGUGGUUCGCUACGCGUCUUCGCGCCGCCAUGCAAGGGUUGGGCACGGACGACCGCACUCUCAUACGCAUCGUCGUCUCGCGCUCUGAGAUAGACCUGGGAGCUAUCAAGCUAGAAUACGAACGGCUAUACGACAAGACGCUCGAGAGCGAAGUCCGGUGGAGUGCGUGGAGAACGCCGCAGCCUGGUUCGCUCAGCGCCUGCGCAACGCGAUGCAGGGCGCCGGCACUGAAGAUAAGACCCUAGUGAGAAUCAUCGCGAGCCGCGCGGAAAUAGACCUCGCAGCCAUCAAGAGGGAGUAUGAGAGACUCUACGAUAAGACGCUGGAGAGCGAUAUAUCGCAGGGCGAGACUUCCGGAGACUACAAGCGCGCGCUGCUGGCGCUCCUCGGCCCGGCCUAGGCCACAGCGAAGUCCUACGAAGCCCUAGGCCUUAAGUUAUGGAAGAUGGGAAGAUUGGUGUUAUGUACGUGUAGUGUACGCAGCUUUUGUAGUGUGUAAGAUUGUAUGAAUCUGUAUUUAUAACACCUUUUUUUUAUUUAAAACUCAAGUUUCGUAUUUCAUAUUUGUAUUGUCUCUUUCCUUAUUCAUUUAAAAGAAAGUAUUUUUUAGGUAGGCAAUUUUUUUUUUCCACAAUUUAGUACAGUUUUUGAUUGUAUGAUUUUGUUUUAUAAUCCUGUCAGUUGAGCAUAAUUCUUUGUUUAAUCAAAUUGAUCUUAAGCAAUACUACCCACCUAAUGUUUAAUUUAAGAUUACAGUAUUGAAAUAAUUACUUUUGGUAUGUGCUGAAGAGAUUUUAGUAAACUUAAUUAUAAUUGAAAUAAACAUUGUUCCGCUCUUACUGUUUGUUCAAACAUGUUUAAUGUGGUAUUUGCUAACAAUAUUCAAUGAAUAAAGAAUUAAUUGUAACUUUUUUGAUUAUUUAUAUAAUAGAAAUAAGACCUCAAAUAUACUCACUUUGGUUAAAUAGAACACAAGAGCCUUGCCAGUGCCUUUUCAGAAAAAAAUAAUUUGCAUAAUAAAGAAAAUUAUAUUAAUUUUUAUGCUGGUAACAAAAUAUUAUAUUAUUGAAUGUUAAUUAUUAUAUGGAUGUGUAGGUUUAAAUAUCAAUUUAUGUUGAUUCCCAGUUGAUAUUAGGAAAACAUUCCAAACUAUUUUCUCAUUUUAGUAUUUUGCCCUCAGUUACAUCCUCUCAUAACGAUACAACUAAGCUUUAAUUUAUUCUUGUUUAGUAAUAAAUUAUUUGAAUCCUCAAAACUUGUUUCA